rnacentral:lncRNA from 1 species
GGGGUGGGUUGGAGAUUUGUUUUUUCGGACAGAAAUCGGAAGGAAAAAAAUCGAGAAGCAAUUAGGGUUCUAGGGUUCUUGAGGCUCGAUUCUGAUUCUUUCACUUUAAAUUUUCACUUCCAAAAAUACAAGAAAAACGAACAAAAAAAGGGGGAAGAAAAGAAUUAAUUGUUAUAUUCAGUUUCUGUUUUCAUUUUUCUUCAUGGAAUUCGUUGGAAGCGUGGUCAAGUACUGAAGGUUUGUCCGCCACUCGAGGUGUUCGUGUUCGCGUUCCUUGAUCCGGUCUCCUGCUCUGUUGCUUUAUCAUUGAUUCUGGAUCUUCACCAUUUGUUUUUCGAUGUCCACUUCAUCACCAAAUUUUCUUCUGUUGUAAAUCGAUUCUCACAAAGGAUAAUCGAAAGCUUUAUUUCUAGGUUCGUUUGAUUUCUCCUAUUCUGUUUUGGUGUUAUUGAAAAUAUGAUAAGAUCCAUGGCUAAGUAGUUUAAAGAUUGUUUCAAAGCUGAUAUGCUGGAAGUUAUUUCAGUAUUUUGUGUUGUGUGCGAUCCUUGAGAUGGAAUCUGGUUGAUUGCUACUAUGAAUGGUCUGAAAUUCGACUUCUGGCCUUUGCGUAUGCUUGAAACAUAGGCUUGGUGCUUUGUUCUUGUUGUUUGUAUCAUCUGGUGUUCUUUUCGCAUUAUUUCAAUAUAUCUAAGCAUGCUUAGCUAGUGAUAUUGGAGUGAUUAAGUUGCGACUCAAUUUUGGAUUGACUGGCGUGCGUUUCACAUGUUGAUGCUUCAGUCCAUUGGUCUGUAACUUGCUAGUCUUUUCUGAUAUGUGUAUAAAUCAAGCAUGUACUUAUGUAGAUCCAUGGACAAGUAAAUACCGAUCAAUUGUGUCGGUCUGCACUCAUUCAAUUCUCUCCUUGAUUUCAAAUUGCGUUUUGUUGGUGCUGGCAGAUGACAUAAAGGAUUGUUUUCCGGGCGAAAUCAUGAUUUGUUUUUGGAUUUGGUUAGAGCACUAGGCAGUAGUCACUUGUUUUCAUUUGAACACUUAACUCUAGAAGGUUCUGCUAAUCAAUAACCCUCCUUAUUAUCCAGCUAGAAUGAGCUUCCACACAAAAAAGGAUCUGUUGAUGUUCCUAGUAUCAAGCUAAGUAAAAGGUUAAUCUGAUUUUUUUUUAAAGGCAUGUGUUAAUUAACCCUAAACUUUGUUGCAUUGAUUGUUACGUGAUAGAUUCUCUUGUGGCUUACUUGAAUCCGUGAAUUGUUUCCCUGCAUGAUCAAUUGUGUCUCGAGUCUGGUAAAUCCUGAAGCGAGCUAGGUACGUUGAGUCGACACGAUUAAAAGGCAAGUUGGGACACUUGUUAACUGGUAGGUGGCUGGAAAUAUGACCAUUUAAUUUGUUGUUUUGUCUUCGUACCAUUUUAUUAGAAGUUGUGUUGGCUUUUCACUGAGUAAGCGGAAGUUGUAAAGUGUAAAAAUGAGCUUAAUUGUCUGCUAAGAAUUCCAGCUUUUAGGUUGUCAAAAGUGAAACUGGCGGCUUAUUUUCCUAGAGUGUUUACAGGAUCAUGAAUAUGAAUUGGUUACCUGACUUUGUAAAUGGGUUAUGUAUGAAAAUAUGCCCGUGUGGAGUGAGAUUCUGUUGCUUCUAAAAAUAGGUUAUGCAGUGUGCGAGACUGAUUUUCCAGGCAGUAAGUACAACUAAGAUUGUUUCUUGAGGAAUUUGUCUUAUAUUGGGGGUAAUUGUCGAAUUGGGGUGGGGGUAGAGGUGUGGGGGUUUCAGGAAGUGCCUAGAUAUGAAUUUCAUUGGUACAAAAGUUAUGGCUCUUAUCAUAUUUUAUCUACAGCUCCUUAACUUUGUUUCAUUUUUCUCUGUUCUGUUGAGUUUGAUGCAUAUCUCGUUUCUUGUUAUUUCUGGAUGUGAUGCUAUCGUUGUGAUGUUUGGUUUCGAGGCGAGAGAUCGUCCCCUAGUUAAAUUUAUCCGGGGGAUGCCCCGUGAAGUUUGUAUAUGUUAGUUUAUUGCAUAUCUCAUUUCUUUCUUGUGCUUUCUGGAUGUGAUGUUGUCUUUGUGAUGUUUGGUUUGGAGGCGAGAGAUCGCCCCCUAGUUAAAUUUAUCCUGGGAAUGCUCCGUGAAGUUUGAAUAUAUUAUUAUCCGGGGUAUUGCCCCGAAGUAUUUGUAAUUGGAGACGGAAAGUAGAACCAUUAGUAUUUUUAUUUUUAUCACUUUUGAUUUUUCUUUCAAUAGGUGGGGACGACCUCGAGCCUCUUGUGUGUUUAUUUUCCGUUUCUAUGUUUUCUACCUCAAUUGAAUA